GAGGGUGUUUUGCUGGAGACCUCUCCCUCCUGGAGGCCUUCUGAAGGCCCUCCAGUGGCACUGCACACAUGGGUAUGCAAUAGAUUUGAACCUGGAGCUCGAAGUGCUCCCCUCCAGCAGCAGCAGCAGCAGGGCUGCAGACAAUUUUGUGGAGCUGAGCAGGGCGGCAAUGAAUACUGCAAUGUUCUGCAGUGACCCCUCGGAGCCAUCUGGAGGUGGCGUGGGCCCACAGGAGGCAGAGGAGGCUCUGCAACGCAAAGAUUUACUUUCCAUGCUGUUACCAUCCCUUUUGCCUCUGCAUAAGAAGCAUGCAGAUAUCUGCUGUAGUUUGGCAGACUCACCCACGAUUCAUUGAAGACUGUGCUGUAUGAAAAUACAGGAAGAUUGGAGUGGGAGUACUGGAAGAUGAUGGAAGAGAACACUGCUGAAUGAAGGUGCUCAAAGUCUGUGCUUCUGUUCUACACUGGAAAGUCCUGAAGUAAGGACUAUCCCCUUUUGAAAGGCCCAAAAUAGUUGAGUCUCAUCCAUUUCACAAGCCAACCCAGAGCUUCUCUUCUAUUAAGUACACUGGUGGGCUAUCUGUAGAAACACAAAUAUUUGUCCCUGAUGCUGCUGUCUGAAGGGCUUUCAUCCAUAUCCUUGUUUGUUUUUUUUUCCCCAAGAAGAACAUGCAGUUGUGAUGCUCAUGUUAUAUCAACAUGGCAAGAACCACAAAAAACAAACAAAAGAACAAUGGUGUCUCAUCACCAUCAUUAUCUACUUUUCUGUCACCAGCAAAUACUACAAGAACUACCCAUCCAACAGCAAUGGAGAGAGGAACGUGGAGGAGAAAACAGUAGUUCUUCCUUCUGGAUGGCCAUGUGGCCUUCUGGAUGUGUUGGAAAGCUGAGUGCUCUGACAUGCUGGCUUUUUACUUUGACCAUAUUCACGUCCAGGUGUGUGAUGAUUUUCAUGCUUAUGUAUGGGAAGCAGAGACAGAGUUGGUCCUGAUGGAAGAAGAGACUCUUGUAGCUGACAGCUGGCAGUGCUGUCCCCAGUACAGCAAUUUAGGGAUCAGCAGCUGGCUGAUGAGAUUGAAGGUCAAAGCCCGAACAGUCUGGUCUGAAAGAAGAAAACAACAGAGCUGCAAAGUUAGUGAUACAGUGCCUGUCCCAUGUGCACACAUUCAAUGUUAUGGAUUUUGUUACAAAAAUUAGAAUGCAGAAACAUGAAAAUGCAAUGUGAGACAUUUAAGAGGUGAAUGAGGAGAUGCUUAUUCCUUCUUUCCUCCCACAUCGUCUCAGCCCAAAUACGCAGGUUUUUGUCAAGUUGUCUGAUAACUUUUCAGGCACAGCCUUACUACUUUCCACAAAAUGUGAAUGGAAGUUGGUGGAUAUAUUGCAUGGGGAGACAAGUUGGAAGUGGAACUGGCUGGAUUAGCCUUGGACAAAAGCAUGUCUGUUAAAGGAUAACUUUCUGAAUGCAACAAUGCCAGCAGAGUGGCACUUGUGUUCACCAGCACUGGACAUGUGGAAAUCAGAGUGUCUGUGUGUAACAGACAGGUGUUAAAGCACAGUUGAUGCUAAACUUGGGCUCACAGUUUUGUAUGUACUGAGUGCAGUGUGGGGCACUGAUUAUUGCACAGUGAGAAUUGGAUCUGAAGAAGUAAUAAUUUUCUCCAUGGUUUUUGUCUGAAACAAAUGAAAGUUAUCAUAGAAAUAUAUCACUGGAGACAUUCCUGGAAAGAACAUUCUGUGCAAUUAUUUGUGCCUGCUAGAGGCAUAACAAAAUGUAAAGGCUGAAAACUCAAGCUGGGAAAAUGCACUUCAGGAUCAUGACGUGGGUUUUCAGUAGUGCAAUGCUCUCCGUGGGCAUGGGCUAUUGAGAGAAGCAGUCAACUUCAGCACUGCAGAUGAAAGGAUUCAGGACUGGAAGCUUCUAUAAAAAAAAAAAAAAAAUUGUCUGAGUCCAUGAGCAGUUACUGAACUUGCUGACAAGUAUAUAUGCACAGCAAGGCAUACUAAGUAAUGGCCCCUAUUUGUUCCCAUGGAAACUGGAACAGAUUAAAAGAGCACAAUAACACAAUCUGAAAGAGCAAGUUCUCAGCUCUAAAUCACUGUUUUUCAACAUAGUUAUCACUGUUAACUCUGCAUUUUCACCAGUAAUGAACAAGGUUCUGCAUGCUGUGCUCAUAAAUAUCUGCAUGGCCAUCCACAGCAUCUUAUUUUUCACAUUGCUGUCACCACCCAUGAAAUACAGCACCCGCUGUCUCCUUGUGCCAACAGCCACACUUAGGGCUCCAUAAACACUCAGUGAAUGUCAAUAAAUGUCAAUGGGUGCAUAUUUUUCCUCACAGGGGAAUUUGGUUCCACCCUUUGCUCCAUCCCCACUUCCACGAGGCACUGUUCUGUCAGACCGCCCCUCUGCUGCCCUCUGUUACACAGCACCAAAUGAAUACUGGCAGGAACAUCCAACCCCUGCUGCCAUACCACCUCCAUCCACCUCUGAUGGCAAUGGCCAACAUUGUAAAAUAGGAGGCACUAUUUUUGAAGCAGCCCUCAUAAUGUUCUUCAUUGCAGGUAUUACUGAGCAAAAUUGUGUCUGCUUGUGUUUCAGGUCAGGUUAGAUGACAGUGGCCUUCUCUAGCCUUGGUUGUGACAGAGACAGUGAGGGUUUGCAAGAGACAAAACCACAAAAAUCAGCUGUUUGAGCAGUGACCAUUCCCUUGUUAGGGGCAGGAUUGCACCACAGUGGUUGGACAUGCGUAGAGCUUACGGUAGGUUGUGCAGCACUGUGAGCUGAAAGGCCAGUUAGCACACUCAAUAUUGGUUGCUGUAAAAGAGCACUAAUGAGUGUGCUAAUUAUGUAGCAGCUUGCAGUGACACACACAUAGAAAAUUGUGACGAUUGGAUGUUGAAAUAUUCCUUCACAUGUUUUUAUUUUGGUAAAAGUUCAAUUAGUUUGAUGCAAUUUACCUUGUGCUGUCCUGUUCACUGAAGAUUGACUAUAGCGACUACCCAUGGAGACUCAGAGGGCCGUGAUGACCCAGGUGACUCAGACUUCUUGCUGUGUUAGAAGCAAAUUCUGCACAACCGAACUCUCCUUUCUGAGGCCAGCAUGGUUGGGUAGCCAACCACAGACAAAGGCCAUUAAUGCACAGAGAGACAUACAAGAUUAUAAAACUCACAGUCUUCAGCUAGGAGCCUUAGGAAGAACAGAAGUUUCCCUUAUCUUAUGUGUUAAUUUGUAUCUGCAUGUAUUGGAGCCAAUAGAAACGAUGUAUUAGUCAUUCUCAAAACAAAAUUGUAUAAGUAAGCCAUUUCCCCCCCCCCCAAGUAUUUCAUUAUCUGGAACACUGCAGUCAUUUUUAUCUGUUUUUAGAAUUCAUUUGUCAGUGUCUUUCAAGAACUCUUGCCUUGAUGCACUUUGUCCAGAGUGGGCUACCCAGUACUGCACUUAGAUAGGAAAGGAGAAGUGAGAAGAAGAAAGGGAGUUUGGAAAUGCAAAGAGCUCACAAAGUCACCCAUUAAUCCGUUUACACGUAGAAGUGAACUUCACAAUGUGAUCUAAAUGGCUGCUGGGGAUUUCAGGCACUCCCAUUAAGAGAAGAUUAUGAUUCCGCUGUCUUACUGUGUAAGAGGUAAUGUAGGAAAGGCUGAGCAGCAGCUGGAUGUUCAAACUGAGGGUUUUCUUUAACCAUUUCAGCACGUUUCCUUGAAGCCUUUAGUCUCAUCCAUUUGGAUGGGCAGCAGAGGAAAUUUUGUUUAUGGUUAGGCUCGUUCCAGCCAUGAAAUUAACAGAAUAAGUACAGAUAAAAGUAGAAAGAUUAGGGAGAUUUUAAUUUGGUACAGGCAUUCUUAAAUGUUUAUUUGCUUUUUGGUCUUGGAACUUGCCCCAUCACUUAAUGAAUAAGAAUGCUCCAUAGCAGCUGCAAAGAACAGCGGUGAGAUGAAGGCAGUAUGAAUUGAGUGGCCUGGGACAAAUAGUAAAGUUAGGAGCAUUAACAAAAUCAUUUUUGACAACUGAUGUAAACUGAAAGCUGCAGAUCAUACAAGAAGGAAGGGUGAGAGGUACCAGGAGGCAGUCACUGCUUUGUGUUUUAUUUCCAUAACAAAACUGACUUAAAUGAUGCCAUGCAGUUGGUGACAACAUAGCCUUCCUAAAGAUCUGUAAAGCAGAGCUCCCUCAUCCUUGGCAUCUCAUCAUCUUGGUGAAGAUGAGUGAGUAAAACAUAUUCUCCACACCUGUGAAUGAUUUCCACAGCUGACUCUGAAGCAGUGGUAUGCUCUAAUUUCCAGAAGUUGGGAGAGCUGCAGCCUAAGGCCACUUCUCCGCAUCCCUGCAUGACCUCGUGCUGCAGCACUGCCAUCCUCAGGGGGCACCCGGGGUCCCUCACACUGAGCUGUUGUGCUGCACCUCCUUAUGUCACCCUGUGACCAUUUCAGCAGAUGUGAAGUUAGGAGAGCACCUGAGGGUUUUAUUUAUCCUGGACAAUGGCUGAGUUAAGCAGACGUUGGUAUCUGUGCCUUGAAAUGAGUGGGAUUAAUGAAUGUCUACAGUUUCCACUGUUAAGAUUGAAGAAGAAAUUCUUAAGGCCUUCGCUGCCCACAGAAUGUACAGACAUUCCUUUUUUUGGCUCUUUUUCUCCCGUGUUUCCCAAAAUUCCCAUAGAACCCAAGGAGAGCAUUGGUACAGCAUUGUUUUUAUAGCACUCUGGGUUCGCAGCAUUCUAAAACACAUCAGUGACUCAUCUGAAGUUUUUGAUUACAACUUCUUGCCUCAGUGCUUACAUUCACUUCUUAAAUAUUGACGGUGUCCUGAAAAAGUCGUGUUACCAAGGAGAAAGUAGCAAUGGUUUAUCAGAACACACAGUGCUUGAUAACCCCUGCAGAAGGGUAGAACUUUGAUUCACAGCUACUUUAUUUCUGCUUUAUGCCAACUUAAUUAUAUCCUAAACGGGGGACAAAAGGACCUUUUCCCACCUUUGCUAUUGUGUCACUCUUUCACUCUGCUGACACACCAAGGCUUCCCAGAUCUCCAUUCUGCUCCGUUCCAGGGGAUGUGUUACCUCAAAUCACUUACAGCAUGUUUAGCCAGUAGGAGUUUGUGAAUUGUUUUAUCAUUCUUGCUGGAAAAUUUGUUGAAUUGUUGAUAUCACUCCUAAUAGUUUCCAGCUUUGUGUCAUUUAUGUUCAUGUGAGUUGCUUUUUUUUUUUUUUCUUUUUCUUUUUUUUUUUUAAUUUAUUGAACACAUUCAUCAGGCAUUAUUUAUGGAGUUUGAUGUUAUUACAGCCAUGAUUGUGAGAUGUGAUAUUUUCCUGGUGUUUCAUUUUAUUAUCCUUUGCAUACACUGUAAAGACUCAGCUCUGCCCAUCAAACAACUUUUGCUUUGGUUUUCAGUCAGGUUAACAGUCUCUUGUUUUUAACACCAUCUUUUCCAAGAAACCAGCAAAGGUUACCUGACUGUUUUUCACAUCCUCUCAGGUAUUUCAGUGAGCUCUCCUUGUGCUGCUGAUUGCUUUCCUUUGCAAAUCAGAGCCUUUUUCAGCUUGACUGUAUAAAGGACUCUCCAAGUGCACCUUUGGGUGCUUAUGGAAACAUUGUCAGCUAGGAGCAGAUGACUGGAAAUUAGCUCAAGGCUCCAUAUUUUGAGAUCAGCAGUCACAGAAUAAUGACGGUAUUUUCCUUCAUGUGUUUAAGAGUCAUGGAUUACUCCCCCUGCUUUACAGCUGGACCGAGCAGCGUGGCUCCAGUAGACUGUGGAGGAGCUGCAUUACAAGUCUUAACUCUGUUGAGUGCUUGGAAACUAAUCAGGGAGUAUGCUGUUACCUCGCAG
ensembl:lncRNA